rnacentral:rRNA from 1 species
AGUGAACGCUGGCGGUAGGCCUAACACAUGCAAGUCGAACGGCAGCACAGUAAGAGCUUGCUCUUACGGGUGGCGAGUGGCGGACGGGUGAGGAAUACAUCGGAAUCUACUUUUUCGUGGGGGAUAACGUAGGGAAACUUACGCUAAUACCGCAUACGACCUACGGGUGAAAGCAGGGGAUCUUCGGACCUUGCGCGAUUGAAUGAGCCGAUGUCGGAUUAGCUAGUUGGCGGGGUAAAGGCCCACCAAGGCGACGAUCCGUAGCUGGUCUGAGAGGAUGAUCAGCCACACUGGAACUGAGACACGGUCCAGACUCCUACGGGAGGCAGCGGUGGGGAAUAUUGGACAAUGGGCGCAAGCCUGAUCCAGCCAUACCGCGUGGGUGAAGAAGGCCUUCGGGUUGUAGAGCCCUUUUGUUGGGAAAGAAAAGCAGCAGGUUAAUACCCCGCUGUUCUGACGGUACCCAAAGAAUAAGCACCGGCUAACUUCGUG